CUUUGGGUCCGCCCGUUUCUCUAAUCAAGUUGUAACACUCGCUGCUGUGGUCCACAGCUUCAUUCCUUGAAGCCCGUGAGACACGAACGCUUCCAUUGAGAAAAACCUUCCAUCAGAAGAAGACUUCUCGUCUCAGUGGGACUGCUGAGUUGAAUGGAUGACCUUUGUUUGUUUAAACUGUUGGAAAAUCAAUAUUUAAAAUGAAAUCUAGAAACUGAAGUGUGCCCUCUGCAGGAUCACCAGAAUGAUGGGAAAACUGAACACAAUCAACUCAUGAACUCCCCAAGGGCUGUCACUCUUUAAGCAAAAUAAACAGAUUUUUGAGCAUCAUCUCUUUUUUGGAUCAUCAUUUUGCAAGUGGAGAUUAAAAUGAACAGGACUAUUCUUCCUCAAACAAAGAGAUCGUGUGAUGAAGACUCACCAGAGCUGUUCUCUAUAAGCUUGAAGAGCAAUGGUAUCAGUGAAUUGCCUUUUCAUUUAUUAUCUUGUUUCUCAAGUGGGAUAUAAGUGUCAUGGGGAGGAUCUGAAAAUGGACUCCAUAGAAAGAGACUCUGAGAUGAAAGACACAAAACUGAGAACAUGCUUGAUGAAGAAACACUUGAUGAAGUCUUUCAAAAGUCAGGAACAAGAAAUAGACACAAUGAACACUAGUAACAAACAUCAGACAGCAGGUGCUUUUUUUUCUGAAGCUUUGGUAGUGUAACUGUAAGAGUCCUGGAAUUGGAAAAGCAAAUCCAGAAGUUGAGUUCCAUGACUUUUUUGCUGUUUGCCUUUGGACUUGCAUCAUUUAUAUUUUUAAUUCAUCGAGGAUGAGAAAAUUGAUUAACACAAAAUCUUUUCAUGUCUUUUCUGAUGAGAGACUAGCUGAAUCCAAGAAGAGAAGCCCUUGAAGAGUGUAUUCUAUUCUAGACAAGCAUUCACACAUUGGCUUCUUUGGUGCCAGAUUAAAGAAUGAAGAAAGGAUCAAAUUGAGACAUCCAGGGGGGAAGAGUUCCCUGGCAAAACUCCAAUCUGCCUGAGCACUGAGGUGGAGCCACAGAAGUCCGGGUCAUUUGCACCUGGGAGGAGCCUGGCCCCUCCUCUUCCUGUGUGGAAUCUGGGAUUUAAUCUGUGAGGAGGGAAGGCCAAGGGCAGGAAGCACAGGCUCUCACUUCACUAAGAGUCUCUGUUUCCCCUUUUUUUCCUUUAUGCCUAAUUAAUAAAUCCCAUUUUUCUCACUCUUCAAAUAGUCUUCAAGCCUAAAUUUUCAUGACCAUGGAACAAGGACCCCAUCUUUAGCUGAACUAAGGAAAAGUCCUGCAACAAAAUUCUUUGCUAAAAAUACAUGAGGUUGCCUUUUCCUUCUUAAUCUUAAAAGAAAUAUAUUUCAAUGGUUAACGUUUUAGUAAUUCAAAAAUUAUCAAGCAUUUGUUCACAACCAUAAGAUGUGCAUUGUUUUAUAUUCCUACUUAAUAAUAGACUAUAAUUGUCUAAUUAGACUGCCGAUGUUGAUCUUUGUGGCUCAUUGCAUUGAUUAUAAGCAGUGUUUUGGGUUUGUGUGUGUGUGUCAAAUUUAGGGUUUUUUUGGUAUGGCUGCUGGUUGGUGUAGCCUGUAUCCAGUAUCCUGUAUUAAUUCUAAUAUUUGCAUUUUGAACAUAUUUACAAGUUGCUAAAAUAGCAAAGCUUCGAGAUGAGCCUGGCUGAUAUGGCAAAACCCCGUCUCUACUAAAAAUACAAAAAUUAGCCUGGUGUGGUGGUGCAUGCCUGUAAUCCCAGCUACUUGGAAGUCUGAGGCAGGAGAAUCUCUUGAACCCAGAAGGUGGAGGUUGCAGUGGGCCAAGAUCGCACCACUGCACUCCAGCCUCGGUGAUAGAGCGAGACUACGUCUC
rnacentral:lncRNA from 1 species